UGUCUAGGGAUGGGAUUCGAACCCACAAUGUUCCGCUUACCGGGCAGAUGCCAUGUCCACUAAGCUACCCUGGAC
rnacentral:tRNA from 1 species